rnacentral:rRNA from 1 species
UGGCGGACGGGUGAGUAAUGUCUGGGAAACUGCCUGGUGGAGGGGGAUAACUACUGGAAACGGUAGCUAAUACCGCAUAACGUCGCAAGACCAAAGAGGGGGACCUUCGGGCCUCUUGCCAUCGGAUGUGCCCAGAUGGGAUUAGCUAGUAGGUGGGGUAAAGGCUCACCUAGGCGACGAUCCCUAGCUGGUCUGAGAGGAUGACCAGCCACACUGGAACUGAGACACGGUCCAG